rnacentral:rRNA from 1 species
AUGGCAAGGCAUUUGUUCAAUCGUAUUCGAGAGGGAGUGGUUGCUCAUGACCCAUACUUCGAGUGCAAGACGGAUGCCCUUGGCAAGCUUGGAUUCUCCUCUUACCAGAAAUGCACUGCGGCCAUCCGCAUGCUUGCAUAUGGUAUUCCAGGCGAUCUGGUGGACGAGUAUGUGCGUAUGAGUGAGACAACAUGUCUGAUGUCAAUGUGCAAGUUUUGCCAGGCUGUGAUCGAGGUGUUUGGCCCAGAGUACUUGAGGCAGCCAACUGCCGCUGAUACAGAUAGAUUGUUGGCGACCAAUGCAGCUAGAGGCUUUCAAGGCAUGCUUGGCAGCAUUGAUUGUAUGCAUUGGGAGUGGAAGAACUGUCCAUUUGCUUGGCAGGGCCAGUACAAGGGGCAUGUUAACGGGUGCACUAUCAUAUUAGAAGCAGUGGCAUCGCAAGAUCUUUGGAUAUGGCAUUCUUUCUUCGGUAUGGCAGGUUCUCACAAUGAUAUCAACGUGCUGCAACAUUCUCCAGUCUUCGCGAGGCUUGCAGAAGGAAACUCUCCACCUGUCAACUUUGAGAUCAACAGCCACCAGUACAACAAAGGAUACUAUCUAGCAGAUGGCAUAUAUCCUCAGUGGUCAACUUUUGUGAAGACAAUCUCGAAACCCCAAGGUGAGAAGAGAAAAAGAUUUGCCCAAAUGCAAGAGAGUGUUAGAAAGGAUGUGGAAUGUGCUUUUGGUGUGCUUCAAUCCCGGUGGGGUAUCGUUCGAAACCCUGCACUGUCAUGGGAUGAAAGAAAGCUUUGGGAGGUGAUGACUGCUUGUGUGAUCAUGCACAACAUGAUCGUCGAGGAUGAGCGUGAUGAGAGUAUCUUCGACCAAGGAUUUGAUUAUGAAGGUGAAAAUAUUGAGCCCCUGCACCAAGACCCAACCACAUUUGAACAGUUUGUCCAAUUCCACCGUGAGAUGCGUGAUUGGCACACUCAUUUGAAUCUUCAAAAUGACUUGGUUGAGCACGUCUGGGAUCACAUUGGCAACCAAUAG